ACGGUUAUAAAUCAACAUAUUGAUUUAUAAGCAUGGAAAUCCCCUGAGUGAAACAACGAAUUGCUGUGUGUAGUCUUUGCCCAUCUCCCACGAUGGGCUUUUUAACAU
rnacentral:other from 1 species